AUAAUAAUGGCUGACAGAUCGUCACUCUGGUUGGAGCGGCUCUUCUCUGAGGACACAAACACGGAGCUGAAAGUGUGAGCAGAGGAACAGGCUGCUGAGGACCAGCGGGACGAUGGUUUCCUGAACUGAAUCCUGAUUUCCUGUCAUCAGGUUUUGUGGGCCGACAUGUUGUCUGGUUGGUGCUCGGCCCGGGACAGGAAGGCUCUGCAGCAGGUGAUCCAUCCAUCCACAGAGCAUCAGUGACAGAGGACAGAAUCAUAAUUGAAGCCUCACUGAUGAAGCAAAAAGAUGUUUGAGAAGCUGGAGGCAGAACGUUCUUCAUCAACGAGUCGACUGACGGGUCAGUACAGAUGAAUGUUGUGUCUCAGAACUGAUCGGGGAUCAGCGC